rnacentral:pre_miRNA from 1 species
UAUAGUAUCCUACUACCUCCGGUUCUAUUUAUAAGAGAAAUUUAGGUCAACAAAAGUGAAUGUAUUUGGACUGAAUUUUUAACUAGAUAUAUCAACUUUUGUUGACCCAAAAUUCUCUUAUAAAUAGGACCGGAGGGAGUACUUUUUUAGGA